AUCAUCUAUGAAAAAGCCAAAAGGAAAAAAAAAAGAGGUGUUUUAAAUGCUUACAUAACCUUUUAAACAUCACAUUGGUAUUGUCUACCAUCAUACAUUCGUCAUAUUGGAAGAUGAAAGAACCCUAGAAAAGAAAAAUUUCACUAAAUCAUGAACUGAAACAAGUGGUCCAGAAUUCAGGCAAAAAAGGUGAGAAAGAAUAUACCUAGAACCUAGGGGUAAUUCUUUUUAAGAAUCCUGGUCUCCUGCCUCCGUCUAUGGCAUGAAGUUAAUAAAGCAAACACAGCCACUGUUUUAAGGACCUGGCACGCAAAGCCCUCUGCUGAGCUCUGGGGGAGAUCAAUCAGUCUGGACGAGGUCCAUCCCUUCCAGGAAGGGCAGGGAGACUCCAGUACAGCCAGCCAGCUGUAAUAUGCAAAUGCAUACUGUACAAAGCGAAGGGUUCUUGCUCUCUGUCUGUGUGAAAUCUGUGGAGUCAAGUUCUGGCAUUUAACAAAAAAAGUUACAUACUAUUACAACUUAAACGUCCACUGUUAUCGGUGACCGUUUUAAAGGCUCAUAAGCGUCCAUAGAACUCAAAAGGUAAAAAUCAUUGAAUUUCCAAGAAGAGAUAAUGGUUAAAUGUGCAAAUGACAUUACAGAAACAGAUACUUACACAAAAGAUUUUUUUAAAAAACAACAAAUCUGAGUGAACAAAAUGAAAAUAACAAACCCUAGUAAGAAGCAGGGAAUGAAAUGAAUACUGGAUCCACAUUCACUGGCAAUUGUGGAAACCUCUAUUGAGAUUAAAAAAUAUAAUUUGGCACAAAAGUCCAUAAUAAUUUCAGUUGUCAACAAGACUUGUUUAAAAAGUUAAAAUUGUUUUCACUUGCUAUAUUUUGCAGACAAAGAAAUACAAGUAUCACAGCACUGAGAGGGGAGGAGUUACUGCUGACAUUAGAAGAAAAAAAAGAUGUUCAGCAAUUUCUUCAAAAUACAGUUUGCAAUGAAGAGCAUCUGGAGGAGCUCGCCAUCAUAUAGGAAACGACUCUUUGGCCAACACCAACUCUCUUUCAAAACAGGGUCAAAUGCUUUUGGCAAGAAUACGGCUCCGCUCUGUAUGACUCAUAUGAUAUUAUCAUUAGUCAAGUCUCCAAUCUAAGAAAUUUUGAAAGAUCUAGAUAUAUGGAUAGGAGACGUCUUACUGAGGCAAUCUUGAAUGGAUGGGGAAGUAGCUGUAUAGAUGAUUGAGAAGUAUCCAGAUGGAAGUCAAAUAGUAUGCCUGAAUGUUUCCAGUGGCAACAAAAUGAAGAAAAGGUAUCUCCCUUAAGCCAAAAUUCAUGUUUAAAAAAAAAAAAAAAAUAGUAACAGGAAAUCAGAAUGUGAAUUCUGCAAGCAUUCCAAAAGUCACAAUAAUGAAUUUUCACUGUAAGGCAAAUCAUUUAAAAAAAUACAUUUCUAAAAUGAUCUGCUGAGUAAUUUUAGAAUGGCAUUUGAUCAAAAGUAUUUAGUGGGUUUACAUUUUAAAAUUAAACUCUGGAGUUUGGGGAAAGGUUAAUAAAAAUUUCUGUAAUUUAACAUAAUAUU